rnacentral:rRNA from 1 species
AUUGAACGCUGGCGGCAGGCCUAACACAUGCAAGUCGAACGGUAACAGGCAACAGCUUGCUGUUUCGCUGACGAGUGGCGGACGGGUGAGAAAUGUCUGGGCAACCGCCUGAUGGGGGGGGACAACUACUGGAAACGGUAACUAAUACCGCGUAACGUCGCAAGACCAGAGAGGGGGGGCCUGUGGCCUCUUUCCAUCGUGGGUGCCCAGCUGGGUAUCGCUUGUUGGGGGGGUAAGGGUUCACCGAGGUGACGAGCCCUACCUGGUGUGAGGGGAGGAGCGGCGACACGGGAAGGGGGACACGGUCCAGGGUACUACGGGAGGCAGCAGUGGGGAAUAUUGCACAAUGGGGGCAAACCUGAUGCAGCGAUGCCGAGUGUAUGAAGAAGGCCUUCGGGUUGUAAAGUACUUUCAGCGGGGAGGAAGGGAGUAAAGUUAAGACGUUGGCUCAUUGACGUUACCCGCAGAAGAAGCACCGGCUAACUACGUG